AUACGGAGGGUGCAAGCGUUACUCGGAAUCACUGGACGUAAAGCGCGCGCAGGCGGCUAUUUAAGUUGGAUGUGAAAGCCUACGGCUCAACCGUAGAACUGCAUCCAAAACUAUUUAGCUAGAGUGUGGGAGAGGAAGAUGGAAUUAGUUGUGUAGGGGUAAAAUCCGUAGAGAUAACUAGGAAUACCAAAAGCGAAGGCAAUCUUCUGGAACACUACUGACGCUGAGGCGCGAAAGCGUGGGGAGCAAACAGGAUUAGAAACCCUAGUAGUCC
rnacentral:rRNA from 1 species